rnacentral:rRNA from 1 species
AGUGAACGCUGGCGGUAGGCCUAACACAUGCAAGUCGAACGGCAGCACAGUAAGAGCUUGCUCUUACGGGUGGCGAGUGGCGGACGGGUGAGGAAUACAUCGGAAUCUACUUUUUCGUGGGGGAUAACGUAGGGAAACUUACGCUAAUACCGCAUACGACCUACGGGUGAAAGCAGGGGAUCUUCGGACCUUGCGCGAUUGAAUGAGCCGAUGUCGGAUUAGCUAGUUGGCGGGGUAAAGGCCCACCAAGGCGACGAUCCGUAGCUGGUCUGAGAGGAUGAUCAGCCAUACUGGAACUGAGACACGGUCCAGACUCCUACGGGAGGCAGCAGUGGGGAAUAUUGGACAAAGGGCGCAAGCCUGAUCCAGCCAUACCGCGUGGGUGAAGAAGGCCUUCGGGUUGUAAAGCCCUUUUGUUGGGAAAGAAAAGCAGCAGGUUAAUACCCCGCUGUUCUGACGGUACCCAAAGAAUAAGCACCGGCUAACUUCGUG